CUGCACUGUAAAAAAUUACUGAUGCAAAAAGUUGUACAAAUGAGGAAAUACAUGUUGGCUCAACAUAAUGGUUGUGUCAAAAAAGAAAAAUAUGUUUGGUCAAUGAUUGCAUGAUUUCCAUGAUUGUACUACAAAAUGUUCAUCAAGAGAAAAUAAAUAAUUAUGUUGAGAUAACUUUUAACGUUGCACAAAAAAUAUUAUGUUGGCCGAGCAAGAGAGAACAGCGUCAAUCGUCUGAGCAUGCGCAAAGGAGUUCUACCAGGCAGCGCUGCAGCAGGCUGGAGUCACGACAUUGCAUUGUCAGCAUUCCUGACAUCGCUGGACAAUCACACCCAGGGGUUGCUAAAGAUGUACAGAGCCAAAAGCAAGACUGGGAAGGUGGAACAACUUGGAUGAACUUCUGGAACAACUGGAUGCCCAGGAAACUAUUUCAUGAAGUUGGUUGAAAUGACGCCCAAUGGUGAAAAGAACCACAGAUCUAACUACUCAUUGAAGGUCUGCUGUUCUUAGUGGUCUUCCCCUGUACUUGAGAGAGCCAGCUUCAAUUUCAAAGACUAUUAAGGAUACUGAGGCACUGGGGCCACACACAAAGGCCAUGAAAAUGAAGUGACUGACAGUUCUACCAACUCAGGACCUUAUCCCACAGUGGUCAAUGUGGCUGUAGUAGUGGAGGAGGAAGUUGUCAUGGACAAUCUGGGAGACUUCACAAAUUCCCUCAUGAUGUUUGUUUCGGCACUGGUUGAAUACUUGUGUAAUAUUUUACUUGAGCCUAACAGGCAAAUUCAUAUGUAUUUAAAUAAAUAAAUAAAAUGUUUUUUUUAUCAAAGCCUAGUGUGUAAUUUAUUUGAAAUAAUGAAAAAUAGACUAUUUUGACCAAGAAUAAAUAUUUAAUACAACAUUUUAUUUCAAUUUGAGUCUGCUUGUUGGCCCAACAAGCUAUGUUUAGUCAACAGAAAAUAUUUAAUUGACACAACAUUCUAUUUCAAGUUCAGUCUACAUGCAGGGGUAGUCAGCACAACACAAAAAAGUUGGUUUCCGCAACUUAAAUUGGGCCAACUAAAAAUUUUAGGUGCAACGGGUCACUAGAAAUUUUUAUGUUGGAGAGGCAUAUUUUUUUUUACA